rnacentral:rRNA from 1 species
GCUCGAGCGAGCGCUGGCGGCGCGUCUUAAGCAUGCAAGUCGAGCGGCAAGGAGGAGCAAUCCUCCCUAGAGCGGCGGACUGGUGAGUAACGCGUGGAAGAUCUACCUAUAGGUUGGGGAUAGUCGUUAGAAAUAGCGGGUAAUACCGAAUGUGGUUAUCAGGCUGUGGUUUGAUAAAGAAAGGUGCUAUGGCACUGCCUAUAGAUGAGUCCGCGUCCCAUUAGGUAGUUGGUGAGGUAAAGGCCCACCAAGCCAAUGAUGGGUAGCCGGCCUGAGAGGGUGAACGGCCACACUGGGACUGAGAUACGGCCCAGACUCCUACGGGAGGCAGCAGCUAAGAAUAUUCCGCAAUGGACGAAAGUCUGACGGAGCGACGCCGCGUGAACGAAGAAGGCCGAAAGGUUGUAAAGUUCUUUUGCGGAUGAAGAAUAAGUAUGGGAGGGAAUGCCCGUAUGAUGACGUUAGUCCGUGAAUAAGCCCCGGCUAAUUACGUGCCAGCAGCCGCGGUAACACGUAAGGGGCGAGCGUUGUUCGGAAUUAUUGGGCGUAAAGGGCGCGUAGGCGGUUACGCAAGUCUGGCGUGAAAGGCGGAAGCUUAACUUCCGGAUUGCGUUGGAAACUGUGGAACUAGAGUCAUGGAGGGGGAGUUGGAAUUCCUGGUGUAGGGGUGAAAUCUGUAGAUAUCAGGAAGAACACCGGUGGCGAAGGCGAACUUCUAGCCAAUGACUGACGCUGAGGCGCGAAAGUGCGGGGAGCAAACAGGAUUAGAUACCCUGGUAGUCCGCACUAUAAACGAUGUGCACUAGGUGUUGGACCGAGCGGUUCAGUGCCGGAGCGAACGUGAUAAGUGCACCGCCCUGGGGAGUAUGCCCGCAAGGGUGAAACUCAGGAGGAAUUGACGGAAGGG